UACGAAGGGUGCAAACGUUGCUCGGAAUUAUUGGGCGUAAAGGGCGCGUAGGCGGUCGGGUAAGUCUGACGUGAAAUCCCUUGGCUCAACCAAGGAACUGCGUCUUAAACUGCCCGGCUUGAGUCCGGGAGAGGGUAGUGGAAUUCCCAGUGUAGCGGUGAAAUGCGUAGAUAUUGGGAGGAACACCGGUGGCGAAGGCGGCUACCUGGACCGGUACUGACGCUGAGGCGCGAAAGCUAGGGUAGCAAACAGG
rnacentral:rRNA from 1 species